rnacentral:rRNA from 1 species
GUAGGGUGCGAGCGUUAAUCGGAAUUACUGGGCGUAAAGCGUGCGCAGGCGGUUAUGUAAGACAGAUGUGAAAUCCCCGGGCUCAACCUGGGAACUGCGUUUGUGACUGCAUAACUAGAGUACGGCAGAGGGAGGUGGAAUUCCACGUGUAGCAGUGAAAUGCGUAGAGAUGUGGAGGAACACCGAUGGCGAAGGCAGCCUCCUGGGCCAGUACUGACGCUCAUGCACGAAAGCGUGGGGAGCAAAC